rnacentral:rRNA from 1 species
AGAGUUUGAUCCUGGCUCAGAAUCAACGCUGGCGGCGUGCCUAACACAUGCAAGUCGAACGAGAAAGCGGGGGCAACCCCGUGAGUACAGUGGCGAACGGGUGAGUAACACGUGACUAACCUGCCUUCGAGCGGGGGAUAACCCCGGGAAACCGGGGCUAACACCGCAUAACAUCCCAAGGUGAAACUCCUUGUGAUCAAAUGCGCAAGCAGCUGGAAGAGGGGGUCGCGCCUGAUUAGCUAGUUGGUGAGGUAACGGCUCACCAAGGCGAUGAUCAGUAGCCGGCCUGAGAGGGCGCACGGCCACACUGGAACUGAAACACGGUCCAGACUCCUACGGGAGGCAGCAGUGGGGAAUUUUGCGCAAUGGGGGAAACCCUGACGCAGCAACGCCGCGUGGAGGAUGAAGUCCCUUGGGACGUAAACUCCUUUCGACCGGGACGAAUAAAUGACGGUACCGGUGGAAGAAGCCCCGGCUAACUUCGUGCCAGCAGCCGCGGUAAUACGAGGGGGGCGAGCGUUGUUCGGAAUUAUUGGGCGUAAAGGGCGCGUAGGCGGUGCGGUAAGUCACCUGUGAAACCCCCGGGCUCAACUCGGGGCCUGCANGCGAAACUGCCGUGCUGGAGUGCGGAAGAGGUGAGUGGAAUUCCCG